GGGCCUGUAGUUUAGCUUGGUUGAAUUGACGUGACUCAGAGAAUUGAGCCUCGAUAAUUUAAAGAAAGAAUCCCGGCUUCGGGAGCCGGAGGCUGGAGUUCAAAUCUCCGCAGGCCCA
rnacentral:tRNA from 1 species